UGCAUUCGAAACUGGCAGGCUAGAGUCUUGUAGAGGGGGGUAGAAUUCCAGGUGUAGCGGUGAAAUGCGUAGAGAUCUGGAGGAAUACCGGUGGCGAAGGCGGCCCCCUGGACAAAGACUGACGCUCAGGUGCGAAAGCGUGGGGAGCAAACAGGAUUAGAUACCCUGGUAGUCCACGCCGUAAACGAUGUCGAUUUGGAGGUUGUGCCCUUGAGGCGUGGCUUCCGGAGCUAACGCGUUAAAUCGACCGCCUGGGGAGUACGGCCGCAAGGUUAAAACUCAAAUGAAUUGACGGGGGCCCGCACAAGCGGUGGAGCAUGUGGUUUAAUUCGAUGCAACGCGAAGAACCUUACCUGGUCUUGACAUCCACAGAACUUUCCAGAGAUGGAUUGGUGCCUUCGGGAACUGUGAGACAGGUGCUGCAUGGCUGUCGUCAGCUCGUGUUGUGAAAUGUUGGGUUAAGUCCCGCAACGAGCGCAACCCUUAUCCUUUGUUGCCAGCGGUUCGGCCGGGAACUCAAAGGAGACUGCCAGUGAUAAACUGGAGGAAGGUGGGGAUGACGUCAAGUCAUCAUGGCCCUUACGACCAGGGCUACACACGUGCUACAAUGGCAUAUACAAAGAGAAGCGACCUCGCGAGAGCAAGCGGACCUCAUAAAGUAUGUCGUAGUCCGGAUUGGAGUCUGCAACUCGACUCCAUGAAGUCGGAAUCGCUAGUAAUCGUAGAUCAGAAUGCUACGGUGAAUACGUUCCCGGGCCUUGUACACACCGCCCGUCACACCAUGGGAGUGGGUUGCAAAAGAAGUAGGUAGCUUAACCUUCGGGAGGGCGCUUACCACUUUGUGAUUCAUGACUGGGGUGAAGUCGUAACAAGGUAACCGUAGGGGAACCUGCGGUUGGAUCACCU
rnacentral:rRNA from 1 species